rnacentral:rRNA from 1 species
CAAUAGCGUAUAUUAAAGUUGUUGCAGUUAAAAAGCUCGUAGUUGAACUUCAGACGUGGUCCGGCGGUCCGCCUCACGGUGUGUACUGUCGGGCUGUGUCUUACCUCUUGGUGAGCCGGCAUGCUCUUUAUUGGGUGUGUCGGGGAACCAGGACUUUUACCUUGAGAAAAUUAGAGUGUUCAAAGCAGGCCUACGCCCGAAUACAUUAGCAUGGAAUAAUAAAAUAGGACGCGCGGUUCUAUUUUGUUGGUUUCUAGAGUCGCCGUAAUGAUUAAUAGGGAUAGUUGGGGGCAUUUGUAUUGCGUUGCUAGAGGUGAAAUUCUUGGAUUUACGCAAGACAAACUACUGCGAAAGCAUUUGCCAAGGAUGUUUUCAUUAA